rnacentral:lncRNA from 1 species
CCAGCUUCAGUUCCUCUCCUCACAGCCUAGCUUGUUCUCUACCCUGGCUGCCAUCUAGGAUGAGUGGCUGGCUCAGACCCUAGUGUCAGCGCCCUAAUCCCCACCGGGCCAGGCACCGGUGCUGUGUUGUGCGGGCACGCUCUCUGGAAGUUUCUACAUCCAGAAACUUCCACCAUCGAAACAGUCUGGGACAAAAUACGAAUAUAUUUGGGUCGUGGAAAGAGCAUUUAAAGAUGGCUGAAAAGAGAGAAUUCCCUUUAUUCAAUCAAUGAACAUCAAAGAAAUAAAAAUUAAAGAGUCUUCAUAAUUCCUACUCUGAGAAAGACUAUCGUGGAUUUAUUAACAUAUCUAUUCCUCUGGGUUGUGUUUAGAAUUGGUUUUUCUCUGGGGAGGGGUUGUCUGGGAUUGAG